GCGCAGGCGCUCAACAUACCAUACCCCACCCGGGACUAAGGACCACGCCAGCUUCCGCAAUGCGCUACGUCCCUCUUUAAAUUAGCCAACCCGUGCGCACUUCGUGCUCACUCCGUACUCUGUGGCAACUCCUGAUUGGCCACAGCUGGAUAUGGUAGCCGGAGCCUGCGUCCCAUUCCCGCCCUGCUUCCUCGUGGCAGCCUGUGAUUGGUCAUGGCCAAAUAUAUAAACCAGAGCCCGCGUGAAUAAAGCAGCAGUUAACUGUCGUCCACAAAAGCGUCUCCUGUCUCCUGUUUCAUUGGAGCUGCGCCGGUCAACUGGUGGCCCGUACAGGGAGCGCUGAGACCCUCUCUCCGACAGUACAAGGAGAGCUGAGACCCUCUCUCCGACGGAACAGAGACGUUAACAGGAAGAAGGCAGCGAACCUGUCUGGGUCCCGGAACGCCUGAUACGUCCCUGCAAACCACCAGACCCCGACCUAGAGGAAACGUCAACCACAGAACAGGGGAACCAACAGGAGCCUCACAAGCCAGACCUAGCAAGUACACCCACAACUCCCAUUAACUAUGGCACCUUGGCCAACUCCCCUGCUGUCGUUAUGCAGGUACUCCAGUUUGCACCGGUUCCAGUUAUGGCGGACUCAGAUGAGUUUCCUGUGAUCCAGCUCGGGCCAACUCUCCAAUUGGCUUUCAUAAAGGAAUGGGCAGGAAUAGGGGCUCUGGCUACCAUGACUACACUUGCCGCAUUCGGCAGUCUACUUCUGCUCUGUCGGAUUCGCAGACAAAGGAAUAGGGAACAAGCAUUGCUGAUCAUGGAAUCUGGUCAAAGCCUGGCAGCAUGGCUCACCAUGCUGUGAUGCAGGUGUGGAGCAAAGCAUCGCAGGGGUGUCGUCCUUGGCCAGGAGACACCCCGGUCCCCAUGUCGGUGAGCAUGCGGGUUGGGCUCAUAAAACAAUACUCCCGCCCCCUCCAAAAGAGCACCAACGAGUAGUGAGGCACUGUCAUGACUGCAGCGUGACACCUCACGAGGGGCGCCGACCUCUGGAGACCCUGCGUCAGUUAUAAAGAAAGGGGGAGAUGUUGGGCGCAGGCGCUCAACAUACCAUACCCCACCCGGGACUAAGGACCACGCCAGCUUCCGCAAUGCGCUACGUCCCUCUUUAAAUUAGCCAACCCGUGCGCACUUCGUGCUCACUCCGUACUCUGUGGCAACUCCUGAUUGGCCACAGCUGGAUAUGGUAGCCGGAGCCUGCGUCCUAUUCCCGCCCUGCUUCCUCGUGGCAGCCUGUGAUUGGUCAUGGCCAAAUAUAUAAACCAGAGCCCGCGUGAAUAAAGCAGCAGUUAACUGUCGUCCACAAAAGCGUCUCCUGUCUCCUGUUUCAUUGGAGCUGCGCCAGUCAAUCCAGACUCGGGACCCCCGACACCUGCAGCUGAGGGACCGAGCCCUGUCCUCCAGCAGGAGGCACCCCCAGCCAGUUCCUUGCCAAGCCUCGAGCAGCAGCUGUGCGCAUGUGCGAUGCAGAGACAGCGUGUCUUGUCGUCAGCGCGGGGGAUCUGCCCAUCACCCUCGCUCAUCACUGGGAUCGUAUGGAGCCUGGGUGGGGACAAGGUCCGGUCCGAGCGGCACCUCAGGGUCCUUUGGGUUUGGCAAAUUCAUUUGCUGAAUAUUUGAGACUUGGGUGGUAGCAGGAGUCCGCUAGCAGGCCCUAGCUUCCGACAGCCCAGGUUUCUGUGGACACACAUACACACCUGUGCACAUACACCUCUGUCUGU